AAUUUUUCCUUGCCUACACACUAUUUAAUUCUAGCACAUGCUUUUCCCCAAAUCAUUCCAUCAAAUGACCACAUUACCCUCAAAGAUUCAACAUUUAGUACGUAGGGAUGCUUAGAGGUAAGUCUUCUACAAAGGAUCGUGUGGGCCCCGCUAGGUCUCAAUAUGAUGCAUAUAAGAAUGACCUAAAGGCUGACCUACGUUGUGGUUUACUAACAAGGCCGCUCGGGGGAGCAUAUGGUCGAUAGUGGCUGCUUUGCUUUCCACCU
rnacentral:lncRNA from 1 species